rnacentral:rRNA from 1 species
UACGUAGGGUGCGAGCGUUGUCCGGAAUUACUGGGCGUAAAGAGCUCGUAGGUGGUUUGUCGCGUUGUUCGUGAAAACCGGGGGCUUAACCCUCGGCGUGCGGGCGAUACGGGCAGACUUGAGUACUGCAGGGGAGACUGGAAUUCCUGGUGUAGCGGUGGAAUGCGCAGAUAUCAGGAGGAACACCGGUGGCGAAGGCGGGUCUCUGGGCAGUAACUGACACUGAGGCGCGACAGCGUGGGGAGCAAACAGG